UAACCAUCCGGAGCGGCUGAGAGACCUGGCUCGACGACGCCGCAGCAACCCCCCGACCGCGGGCACGGUGCUACUGCCAGGACCGAUGGAGA
rnacentral:ncRNA from 2 species